rnacentral:sRNA from 1 species
UUUUGCCGGGAUCGCCAUCUGCCAGCGCGUUGCGCCCGCAGGUGCCCUUGGC